UACGGAGGGAGCUAGCGUUGUUCGGAAUUACUGGGCGUAAAGCGCGCGUAGGCGGCUUUGUAAGUUAGAGGUGAAAGCCCGGGGCUCAACCCCGGAACUGCCUUUGAUACUGCAAAUCUCGAGUCCGAUAGAGGUGGGUGGAAUUCCUAGUGUAGAGGUGAAAUUCGUAGAUAUUAGGAAGAACACCGGUGGCGAAGGCGGCCCACUGGAUCGGUACUGACGCUGAGGUGCGAAAGCGUGGGGAGCAAACAGG
rnacentral:rRNA from 1 species